AGUGAACGCUGGCGGCAUGCCUUACACAUGCAAGUCGAACGGCAGCACGGGUGCUUGCGCCUGGUGGCGAGUGGCGGACGGGUGAGUAAUACAUAGGAACAUAUCCGGUCAGGGGGGGUGGCCCGGCGAAAGCCGGAUUAAUACCGCAUACGAACGACGUAUGGGAGCGGGAGACCUACGGGCCUCGCUCUCUCGGGUUGGCCGAUGGCUGAUUAGCUAGUUGGUGGGGUAAAGGCCUACCAAGGCGACGAUCAGUAGCUGGUCUGAGAGGACGACCAGCCACACUGGGACUGAGACACGGCCCAGACUCCUACGGGAGGCAGCAGUGGGGAAUUUUGGACAAUGGGCGAAAGCCUGAUCCAGCAAUGCCGCGUGUGUGAAGAAGGCCUUCGGGUUGUAAAGCACUUUUGUCCGGAAAGAAAUCCUUCGCCCUAAUACGGUCGGGGGAUGACGGUACCGGAAGAAUAAGCACCGGCUAACUACGUG
rnacentral:rRNA from 1 species